rnacentral:rRNA from 1 species
ACGUAGGGUGCGAGCGUUAAUCGGAAUUACUGGGCGUAAAGCGUGCGUAGGUGGUUCGUUAAGUCAGAUGUGAAAGCCCGGGGCUCAACCUCGGAACUGCAUUUGAUACUGGCGAGCUGGAGUGUGGCAGAGGGUAGUGGAAUUCCUGGUGUAGCAGUGAAAUGCGUAGAGAUCAGGAGGAACAUCCGUGGCGAAGGCGACUGCCUGGGCCAACACUGACACUGAGGCACGAAAGCGUGGGGAGCAAACAG